AUACGCAGGGCGCGAGCGUUGUCCGGAAUUACUGGGUGUAAAGGGAGCGUAGGCGGGAGUGCAAGUCAGAUGUGAAAUACAUGGGCUCAACCCAUGGGCUGCAUUUGAAACUGCAUUUCUUGAGUGAAGUAGAGGUAAGCGGAAUUCCUGGUGUAGCGGUGAAAUGCGUAGAUAUCAGGAGGAACACCGGUGGCGAAGACGGCUUACUGGGCUUUUACUGACGCUGAGGCUCGAAAGCGUGGGGAGCAAACAGGAUUAGAUACCCUGGUAGUCCACGCUGUAAACGAUGAUUACUAGGUGUGGGGGGACUGACCCCUUCCGUGCCGCAGUUAACACAAUAAGUAAUCCACCUGGGGAGUACGGCCGCAAGGUUGAAACUCAAAUGAAUUGACGGGG
rnacentral:rRNA from 1 species